GGUUGGGUGGUCGAGUAUUUAGACACAGGACUGCAAAUCCUGUUACGGUGGUGAAAAUCCAUCCCCAACCUC
rnacentral:tRNA from 1 species